ensembl:snoRNA
UUGUAAUGAUGUUGUCAAAUGUCUGACCUGAAACUACUAAUGUAGACUGCUCUUCACUGAAAGA